rnacentral:rRNA from 1 species
AGCAGCCGCGGUAAUUCCAGCUCCAAUAGCGUAUAUUAAAGUUGUUGCAGUUAAAAAGCUCGUAGUUGAAUUUCGAGAUCAAAUUGUUGGUCGUGCCUCGGUACGUACUGGCAUUAUUGAUUUCUCCCUUCUGAAGAACCUUGAUGUCAUUAAUUUGGUGUCUUGGGGAAUCAGGACCGUUACUUUGAAAAAUUAGAGUGUUUAAAGCAGGCUCACGCUUGAAUACAUUAGCAUGGAAUAAUGAAAUAGGACGUUUGAUUCUAUUUUGUUGGUUUCUAGGAUCGACGUAAUGAUUAAUAGGGAUAGUUGGGGGCAUUAGUAUUCAAUUGUCAGAGGUGAAAUUCUUGGAUUUAUUGAAGACUAACUACUGCGAAAGCAUUUGCCAAGGAUGUUUUCAUUAAUCAAGAACGAAAGUUAGGGGAUCGAAGACGAUCAGAUACCGUCGUAGUC